CAGUCGCCGCGGGAAUACGUAGGGUGCGAGCGUUAAUCGGAAUUACUGGGCGUAAAGCGUGCGCAGGCGGUUUUGUAAGACAGGCGUGAAAUCCCCGGGCUCAACCUGGGAAUGGCGCUUGUGACUGCAAAGCUAGAGUGCGGCAGAGGGGGAUGGAAUUCCGCGUGUAGCAGUGAAAUGCGUAGAUAUGCGGAGGAACACCGAUGGCGAAGGCAAUCCCCUGGGCCUGCACUGACGCUCAUGCACGAAAGCGUGGGGAGCAAACAGGAUUGGAUACCCCAGUAGUCCCUGUCUCUUAUAC
rnacentral:rRNA from 1 species